GCGCCCGUUUAAACAACGUUGCCCGUCCGGCACCACGAGAAGCGUGCAGAGUCUCUCGGAUUCCCCUCCUCCGCGUCAUGCCGCUGAUGCCGAGUGCUGUGGGGUGGUUCUGGUGGCGGUGAUUUUCCCUCGCCGGCACCCGGAGGAGCGCUGCUGCUGAUGAUGAUGGCGGUGCUGAUGCUGCUCAUGACUGCACGGUGCCUUGCAAGGACAUCUCAGCAGCGUCAUCAGCAGCAUCGGCAUCAGCAGCAGCAUCAGCGGCGGCAGCAGCAGCAGCAGCAGCUUCAUC